rnacentral:rRNA from 1 species
CUACGGGGGGCAGCAGUGAGGAAUAUUGCACAAUGGGGGGAACCCUGAUGCAGCAACGCCGCGUGGAGGAUGACGCAUUUCGGUGUGUAAACUCCUUUUAUAUGUCAAGAAAAUGACGGUAGCAUAUGAAUAAGCACCGGCGUAACUCCGUGCCAGCAGCCGCGGUAAUACGGAGGGUGCAAGCGUUACUCGGAAUCACUGGGCGUAAAGGACGCGUAGGCGGGUUGGAAAGUCAGGUGUGAAAUCCUACAGCUUAACUGUAGAACUGCACUUGAAACUUCUAAUCUAGAGUAUGGGAGGGGGAGAUGGAAUUAGUGGUGUAGGGGUAAAAUCCGUAGAUAUCACUAGGAAUACCUAAAGCGAAGGCGAUCUCCCGGAACAUUACUGACGCUAAGGCGUGAAAGCGUGGGGAGCAAACAGGAUUAGAUACCCGAGUAGUC